GUGGGGAAUUUUGGACAAUGGGCGCAAGCCUGAUCCAGCAAUGCCGCGUGCAGGAAGAAGGCCUUCGGGUUGUAAACUGCUUUUGUACGGAACGAAACGGUCCUGGUUAAUACCCGGGGCUAAUGACAGUACCGUAAGAAUAAGCACCGGCUAACUACGUGCCAGCAGCCGCGGUAAUACGUAGGGUGCAAGCGUUAAUCGGAAUUACUGGGCGUAAAGCGUGCGCAGGCGGUGCUGUAAGACAGGCGUGAAAUCCCCGGGCUUAACCUGGGAAUUGCGCUUGUGACUGCAGUGCUGGAGUGCAGCAGAGGGGGAUGGAAUUCCGCGUGUAGCAGUGAAAUGCGUAGAUAUGCGGAGGAACACCGAUGGCGAAGGCAAUCCCCUGGGCCUGCACUGACGCUCAUGCACGAAAGCGUGGGGAGCAAACAGGAUUAGAAACCCCUGUAGUCC
rnacentral:rRNA from 1 species